AUGGGAACCAGGCUCCUCUGUGACUUUUGUUAACUGGGAGUCGGCCUCAUGGAUGCUAAAGUAACUCAAACUCCAAGAUAUCUGGUCAAAAGAAUGGGAGAGAAAGUUUCGAUAGAAUGUGUACAGGACAUGAACCACGAGAGAAUGUUCUGGUAUCGACAAGACCUGGCUCUGGGGCUGCAGCUGCUCCAUUUGUCAUAUGAUGCUAACCUUGUUGAGAAAGGAAAUGCUUCCUAUGGUUACAGUGUCUCUAGGAAGAAGAGGGAGGGUUUCCUCCUGACCCUGGAGUCUGCCAGCACCAACCAGACAUCUGUGUACCUCUGCACCAGCAGUUAUGGGGAGGGAGGGGAGACCAACAUUCAGUAUUUUGGCCCAGGCACACGGCUGACCGUGCUAGAGGACCUGCAGCAGGUGAGACCACCCAAGGUGGCCGUGUUUGAACCAUCGGAGGCGGAGAUCUCCCGGACCCAGAAGGCCACCCUCGUGUGCCUGGCCACAGGCUUCUACCCCGACCACGUGGAGCUGAGCUGGUGGGUGAACGGGAAGCAGGUCCAGAGCGGGGUCAGCACGGACCUUCAGCCCCACAGGGAGGACUCCAGCCGCAAUGACUCCAGCUACUGUCUGAGCAGCCGGCUGAGGGUCACCGCCGCCUUCUGGCACAACCCCCGCAACCACUUCCGCUGCCAAGUCCAGUUCUACGGGCUCACGGAGGAGGACGAGUGGGAGUACAACUGGACCAAGCCCAUCACCCAGAACAUCAGUGCGGAGGCCUGGGGCAAAGCCGACUGUGGCUUCACCUCUGCGUCCUAUCAGCAAGGGGUCCUGUCUGCCACCCUCCUCUAUGAGAUCCUGCUGGGGAAGGCCACCCUGUACGCUGUGCUGGUCAGCGCCCUGGUGCUGAUGGCCACGGUAAAGAAAAAGGAUUCCUGAGACCAGCUCUGAAAGUGCAUCCUGAGUCGUUCUUUAUCUUCACCCUAGAUUCACUGUAACAUGUUUCCAAUUAGUGUUUCUUAAGAGUCUCUCUCUUUCUCUGCACCUCUUAUCUCCUUCCUACAUGGAUAUGUUGCUCUUCUCCCAGCUUCCCUGAAGGCUGAGCUCCUCCACACUGAACGUGAACUAGACUAACUCAAUAAAAUGUCAUGAUUGCA